AGAAGCUUUAUUUUUAAUUUUAAACAUUUAAUCAAAGAAAAUUUGUUUGAUUGAAACAAUCGACACUGUCAAUCAACUGUCAUCUGUUUUCAAGUUUUUUUCAUUAAUGUGUUCAAUUAAAUGGUUUGGAUUAACCUUUUCCUGGUCAAAUCAUGGUUUGGUGUUUAAUCUUUUGAUUAGCUUUCUUUGGUUAAUUGUCAUAAUCAAUCCAUGUCGAGUCGCUCUUUGUACCUACAAUAUGCUACAAUUGGUUUAAUAAUUGGUUUAAUAAUUGGUCUAAUAAGUGCUGUAACAGUUUGAAUGUUUAACCGUUUUGUUCAAGUGGACUCAAUCGAUGAAUUAGAGCUUACUCAAUGAUUAACCAGUAUUAACUUACUCAAAGCAACUUGGACCUUUACUUGGAAGAAAAAAUUUGGGUUCUGAAGCAUCUUAUGGGGACAAGAAUGUUGAUGACCAAUAAGCUUAAUCAACUUUUGGCACUCUCAAGUGAUCGCGUUUUAAGGAAACAGAAAACGUAAAAUUAUCAUGCCAGUUAAUCCUCUAGUUAAACUGUAUGCUGCUGUUUAAAUGGAAUACAUCUGGCAAGAAUUAUUGGUUGGUCAAAUGUAAUUCUUUGGCCAAUAAAUGUUUUUAAUGUGGCUAAUCUUGGACUUGAUGUGUUACCUCAAGUGCUUUUGUUAACCCUGGCUGAUAAAAACAAAAGUGAAUAACAAUCAAGAAGACUGUACAAGUAACCGGUUUCUGUAUGUAUAACUGUAAUCAAUUGGUAAUACAGCAGUUAAGCAAAGCAAAAAAAAUUGAACUUAAAUUAAGUUUAACAUUAACUUAAAAGUUUACCCAAAGAAACUGCCUCUUACCAAUAAACUUGCCAUUACUUGCCUUGAAGAUGCCCAAUUACAAAGAGAAAGAAAAAAGAGAAAGAGACUUGGAGCUGUAAUUAUUAUUAUAAUUAGUCUGAGCGCAAGCAAAGACCUACAAGAUACGUCCUACCGGUCCAGAAACUACAUAACCCAGGUCCUUCAAACUCGGCCCAUAGAUAGCUGACAUGAAUAAAUAAGCAAAUAAAGGAAACCUGGGAGUGAACGAUCAAAUAAAGGCAAGCAAAAGAGGUCAAACCAAGUGGAUUAGAUUGUUUAAGAUCUCAACUUUGAAAAGUUUGAUCAUUUUCUUGGUUCAUAUCAUCACCGUUAUCAUCUUACAGUCAUCUAAAAACUAUGGAUUCAAAUUCUUAGGUAAUAGGAUCUUAAUUGGACCCAUCUGACCUACAACUUAUCAUCUACAACUGUUAUUUGACUUGCAUCAAUUCGCUGUUUACCAUUUAAAAUCUAUCAAGUAAAAAGCUGACUCACAGGAUGGUCAAGAUUAAAAAGACGGUCACUCUCAUCAUAAUGAAUUAUUUCCAAUAAUUUAUCUUCUGGUGAAUAUGCACUCAAGUAAUAUUAGACGGAGUAGAUGUUGACAAAAAUGGACACAUUCCAAUGAGAUUGCAAUAUAAUUGCCUGUUUCAACUUGAAAUAAUCAUGACACAAAUAUUUUACUUCGAUCUUACAGUCAAAGCUUCUCUUGUACACAGUGCGUGUUAGAUAUUGUCAAAGUUGACCGUAAUCUUGACAAAUCCAUAUUCAUCGCCAUUAUUAUAAUCAAGAGGAAUAAUGCAAAUUGAGUGAAUAAUUACCUUUCGAUAAAAGUAACUGUACAUCCGCAUAGUUUCAUCUGUAAAGAGAAAGAAGGAAAAAUGCAAUCAAUUAGUUGAUGGGAACAAUUAAUUACCAAUAAAGGGAUCAGUAGAUGGCUUGAAUACAAUAGCAAUAACAAUUUUGGCUUUGAUUCGCUAUGAUGCUGCUUGUGAUUAUCUGUUUACUGGUCAAAAGCUUGUUAAUUAUUGGCAUCUUAAUUGUAAACAAAAUUAAUUUACAAUCAACUUUCAUCAUUACAUUGUUGCUUUCAAUCAUCAAUAACUUGGAUCAUGUUGGGCUUGUUGCUGCUGUUAAUAAUACAUUAAUAUCAUUAUUACUAUUAAGUAAAUGAUAGGAUCAACAGAACAUUACAACACGAGUGGAAUUAAUAAAAGGCUGGAUCCAGUUAAAAGGACUAACCGUGAUUAACUGAUUGUUUAAGGUUGAUUAAAUUGAACAUAAGAAAUGAUUUUUAUGGUUUAAUAAUCAUUUAAAUAUCAUCAUCAAAAUGGUUCCUUUUUUUGUUCCGUCCAGUGAAACCAAAUUUCAUGCUGUGUUUAAAGUCAAUCAGACAUAAAUCAUCCUUUUUUCGCAUCUUUGAUCAUUUAAUUUGAUAUAUAUAUAUUUAUAUUUAUAUAUAUAUAUAUGUAUUUAUAUAUCAUCCAACUGGUUUAAAGAGAUUACAUGAUGUUCAAGUCUGAUGAUGAUUCUGAUUAUAAUGAUGAUUAUGAUCAAGAGAAAGUCAGACCUUUAAUUGACCUGAUUUAAUUUUGAAAGGAAGAAAAGAUUUUAACUCUUUAAUAAGAUCUUCUCGAUUCUGCUUCGGCAAAAUGAUGUUACAAUUUUGAUUAGACUUUUUCGGCCUGUUGUAAUUGUUACUGAUUGUUGAUAAUAAUGAUGAUUAACAUGAUAUAUCAACCAACAACAAAAACCUAUCUUGGCUCAUUCAAAACUUGCAACAAUCAAAAAAAGCAAUCAUUUAACUUAUGAUUUACAGUCUAUUUUUUCACCCCAAAAACACUAUUACUUUUCAUUGUUGAUCGCAACUAUCCGAACAAUCCUUUACAACUUUAUCAUCAUUAUACCUUAAAUUGGUAAUUGUAAAGUUAACUGAAAGAUUGACUUGAAAAGCGAGGAAAAACUAUUCUCCAGAAACUAAAUCAAACUUUGGUAACAGCUUUUCGUUAAUGGCCUGACUAUCAAGAUUAUCAUGAUUUACAGUCAUUUGCUUAAUCAGCCACAAUAAAAUCACAAUUGUCAAGAUAUGAAGUGCAACAAUCAACACCAACGUUCAAUUGUUUACUCCUAAAUCAACCAACGCUGACCCGAUUAUUGAGAUCUGCUAGGAUUAACAUUUAACCUCAACAGGUUUACAAUGAGAUAAAGACAAUAGUAAAUCAGUUGAAUCACAAUUUGGUUAAUCGUUGAAUAACUAAAAAAUUAUUCACUAGUUGACUAGCGACAGUCAAGAUUAAAAGAUCAACAAUUGUAACUCUAAUGGUAACUUAAAUAGCAACUUUAAUGGUAAUCUUAAUAAUAGCAAUCUUAAUAGAUUAAAUGGGUUGAAUGGGAAUAAUGGACUUUGAAGAUUACCAGGAAAAAGCCAGCGAAAUAUCAAGACAAUACUCGAAACAUUGGGUUAAUCGUUUGUGUUAAAAACAAUUGUUGAAUGUGGAUAAACUCAGAUAUAGAUUAUGUUUAGUUAAAGGUAAAAAAUAUUCACAAUUAACGGUUAAAUCGACGUAAUUUCACUUAAAAUGAAAGUGUUAUUUGAUUGUAUUUUUACGUGAAGAAGAAGCAAUCGGUUUGUUCCUUAUGAAUGCAUUACUGUUAAUGAGUUUAUUCAUCUCUUGUUUUGUUUUUAUUUGUAUUUCUUGAAACCAUUGAUUAUGGUUAUGAUUACUGAUCAUCUUUAUAAUCAUUGUUAUCAUGUGUAAACGUGCAAACAAUCAACAAUACAGUUGAAUGGAUAAUUAUUGGUUUGUCGAAGUUUCAAUUUACCAUUCAAAAUAUACCUCAUUUUGAGCCAUUUU